GUGUGGAAUAUUGGUCAAUGGGCGAGAGCCUGAACCAGCCAAGUCGCGUGAAGGAAGAAGGAUCUAUGGUUCGUAAACUUCUUUUGCAGGGGAAUAAAGUGCGGGACGUGUCCUGUUUUGUAUGUACCCUGAGAAUAAGGAUCGGCUAACUCCGUGCCAGCAGCCGCGGUAAUACGGAGGAUCCGAGCGUUAUCCGGAUUUAUUGGGUUUAAAGGGUGCGUAGGUGGUUUGAUAAGUCAGCGGUGAAAGUUUGCAGCUUAACUGUAAAAAUGCCGUUGAAACUGUCGGACUUGAGUGUAAAUGAGGUAGGCGGAAUGCGUGGUGUAGCGGUGAAAUGCAUAGAUAUCACGCAGAACUCCGAUUGCGAAGGCAGCUUACUAAGCUACAACUGACACUGAAGCACGAAAGCGUGGGGAUCAAACAGGAUUAGAUACCCCAGUAGUCC
rnacentral:rRNA from 1 species